GAUGAACGCUGGCGGCGUGCCUAAUACAUGCAAGUCGAGCGAACAGACGAGGAGCUUGCUCCUCUGAUGUUAGCGGCAGACGGGUGAGUAACACGUGGAUAACCUACCUAUAAGACUGGGAUAACUUCGGGAAACCGGAGCUAAUACCGGAUAACAUGUUGAACCGCAUGGUUCAACAGUGAAAGACGGUCUUGCUGUCACUUAUAGAUGGAUCCGCGCCGCAUUAGCUAGUUGGUAAGGUAACGGCUUACCAAGGCAACGAUGCGUAGCCGACCUGAGAGGGUGAUCGGCCACACUGGAACUGAGACACGGUCCAGACUCCUACGGGAGGCAGCAGUAGGGAAUCUUCCGCAAUGGGCGAAAGCCUGACGGAGCAACGCCGCGUGAGUGAAGAAGGUCUUCGGAUCGUAAAACUCUGUUAUUAGGGAAGAACAAAUGUGUAAGUAACUAUGCACGUCUUGACGGUACCUAAUCAGAAAGCCACGGCUAACUACGUG
rnacentral:rRNA from 1 species